CUACAUGAAGCUGGAAUCGCUAGUAAUCGCGGAUCAGAAUGCCGCGGUGAAUACGUUCCCGGGUCUUGUACACACCGCCCGUCACACCAUGGGAGUCGGAAAUGCCCGAAGUCUGUGACCCAACCUUAGGGAGGGAGCAGCCGAAGGCAGGUCGGAUGACUGGGGUGAAGUCGUAACAAGGUACC
rnacentral:rRNA from 1 species